UACAGAGGGUGCGAGCGUUGUCCGGAAUCACUGGGCGUAAAGGCGCGUAGGCGGCUCGGUCAGCGUGCGGUGAAAGCCCGGGGCUCAACCCCGGGUCGGCCGUGCGAACUGCUGGGCUGGAGCACUGUAGAGGCAGGUGGAAUUCCGGGUGUAGCGGUGGAAUGCGUAGAGAUCCGGAAGAAGCACCGGUGGGCGAAGGCGGC
rnacentral:rRNA from 1 species